ACUGUCACCAGAAUACUGAUAGUAUUGUGAAAAUUAGCAAUAAGCUCUUUUUGUUGUUGUUGUUGUUGUUGUUCUAGAAUAACCAUUUUGUUUUCCCCAACGACUUCUGAGAUACCCAGAAGAUAAAGCUCAUGAAUACCACAGAAAUUUACAUCAAAAAAAGACUGCUUCAGUCACUGAAAUUCUCCAGGCUCAAUAUCUGACAUGCAAAAUGAAAAUUUUUUUACCACCAGAAACCAUCAUAAUGUCUUUUAAACGAACUAUGAAAUUUUGUUUUCAGUGUCCUUAAGAACAGCAAAUGAAAUUGGAGAAAUUAAUUUCUAUACAGCAUAUUUCCUAAUCAAAUAAUACUUUUAUUCAUAUAUUUAUUCAUAUAUUUAUUCUUUAAAUUGUUUGCCAAAAGUCAGAAACACUGAAAUACAGGAUUUCCUUUGAGAAAUUUGGUGAUAGAUUGUGGAAUCACAGAAUCACAUAAUGGCUGAGGAUGGAAGGGACCUUUGAAGCUUAUCUGAUCCACACACCCUGCUCAAGCAAUGCCACUUAGAACAUUUACCCAUGACCAUGUUUGACAGCCUCUCAAAGGAGGCUCUCCCAAAGGAGAGAGACUGCACCACCCCUCUGGGCAACCUGUGUCAGUGCUCAGCCACCAUCACAGUAAAAAACCCUCCUGUGUUUCAGUUUGUGCCCAUUGCUUCUUGUCCUGUUACUGGGCAUCACUGAAAAGGACCUGGCUCUAUUCUCUUUUCACUGUCCCUUUAGGUAUUAAUACACAUUAAUGAGACCCUCUGAAACAUCUCUUUUAUAGACUGAACAGUCCUGCAUCCCUCAGCUUUUCCUCUCAGAAGAGAUGCUCCACACUCUCCAUCAUUUCUGUGGCCCUACUGGGCAGCCCAGAACUGGACUCAGUACUCCUGGUGUGGCCUCACCAGUACUGAAUAGAGGGGAAUGUCUAACUAUAUGCAUCCCGAGCUUGUAGAUUUCUUGGUUUGUCAUGGAGAUUGUAUGCUAACCUAUGAUGAUGACCUGAGGAGUUUCAUCUGAUUCUCCAGAGGUCAAGGGCUGCUCAAACAUUACCUUAUUUUCCAGUUCCAUGUGAAUGCUUUAUUUCAAAUUACAGUAGGUACCAAAAUUUUGGCAAAUGAAUCAUGUCUCAAAUAUGUUUUCUCCCUAAAAUUGCUUUCCUGUAUUUUCUGUUGUCAUAUAGGCUUAUCAUCGAUUAGUGAAAAAAAGAAAAUGUUUAUUAUUAUAUAAAAAUUUCUGCAACAAAUUGAAAAGUAUAUAUAAAGCUCAAGGUCAUAUAAUGUAAAGAACUUCAGAAAUUCACUAAAAAUGCACAACUUUCUUUCACAGUGGAAAGGAUACUAAGAUUAUUGAUAUUAAAUUAAAAGUGCUGAAAUUAAUAUAUGCAGAAGUAUUUAAAAUAGAUAUUAAAUACACAUAUGAAGAUGUUAAACCUAACAUUUAAAAAUAUGAAAUUAUGUCUAUUUAGAGAAAAAACAGUAUGUGAAAUUAGAUUUAAUUACAGGAGAAAACAAACUUCAUGACUGAUAUGUAUGCUUUCAAACUACCAAAAUGUGUAAUGCUAUCUCAUUAAAGUUCCUGUGAAUUGUAAAUGA